CUUAAGCAUAUCAAUAAGCGGAGGAAAAGAAACCAACUGGGAUUGCCCUAGUAACGGCGAGUGAAGCGGCAACAGCUCAAAUUUGAAAUCUGGCCUCCUUCGGUGGUCCGAGUUGUAAUUUGCAGAGGGUGCUUUGGCGUUGGCAGCGGUCUAAGUUCCUUGGAACAGGACGUCACAGAGGGUGAGAAUCCCGUACGUGGUCGCCCGCCUCCGCCGUGUAAAGCCCCUUCGACGAGUCGAGUUGUUUGGGAAUGCAGCUCUAAAUGGGAGGUAAAUUUCUUCUAAAGCUAAAUACCGGCCAGAGACCGAUAGCGCACAAGUAGAGUGAUCGAAAGAUGAAAAGCACUUUGGAAAGAGAGUCAAAAAGCACGUGAAAUUGUUGAAAGGGAAGCGCUUGCAGCCAGACUUGCCCGUAGUUGCUCACCCGGACUUUUGCCCGGGGCAUUCUUCUGCGGGCAGGCCAGCAUCAGUUUGGGCGACCGGAUAACGGCCUCUGUCACGUACCAUCCUUCGGGAUGGCCUUAUAGGGGAGGCGUAAUGCGGCCAGCCUGGACUGAGGUCCGCGCAUCUGCUAGGAUGCUGGCGUAAUGGCUGUAAGCGGCCCGUCUUGAAACACGGACCAAGGAGUCUAACAUCUAUGCGAGUGUUUGGGUGUCAAGCCCGGGCGCGCAAUGAAAGUGAACGGAGGUGGGAACCCUCUCGGGGGUGCACCAUCGACCGAUCCUGAUGUUCUCGGAUGGAUUUGAGUAAGAGCAUAGCUGUUGGGACCCGAAAGAUGGUGAACUAUGCUUGAAUAGGGUGAAGCCAGAGGAAACUCUGGUGGAGGCUCGCAGCGGUUCUGACGUGCAAAUCGAUCGUCAAAUUUGGGCAUAGGGGCGAAAGACUAAUCGAACUAUCUAGUAGCUGGUUCCUGCCGAAGUCU
rnacentral:rRNA from 1 species